AGGGCAAGUCUGGUGCCAGCAGCCGCGGUAAUUCCAGCUCCAAUAGCGUAUAUUAAAGUUGUUGCAGUUAAAAAGCUCGUAGUUGAAUUUCGGGGUUAGUAGGUUGGUCAUGCCUCAGGUAUGUACUGAUCUCACUGAUUCCUCCUUCCUGAUGAACCGUAAUGCCAUUAAUUUGGUGUUGCGGGGAAACUGGACUGUUACUUUGAAAAAAUUAGAGUGUUUAAAGCAGGCUAACGCUUGAAUGCAUUAGCAUGGAAUAAUGAGAUAGGACGUUCGAUCCUAUUUUGUUGGUUUCUAGGAUUGACGUAAUGAUUAAUAGGGAUAGUUGGGGGCAUUAGUAUUCAAUUGUCAGAGGUGAAAUUCUUGGAUUUAUUGAAGACUAACUACUGCGAAAGCAUUUGCCAAGGAUGUUUUCAUUAAUCAAGAACGAAAGUUAGGGGAUCGAAGACGAUCAGAUACCGUCGUAGUCUUAACCAUAAACUAUGCCGACUAGGGAUCGGAUGAUGUUAAUUUUUUAAUGACUCAUUCGGCGCCUUACGGGAA
rnacentral:rRNA from 1 species